rnacentral:SRP_RNA from 1 species
GCCGGGCAUGGUGGCACAUGCCUGUAAUCCCAGCUACUUGGGAGGCUGAGGCAGGAGAAUUGCUUGAAUCUGGGAGGCAGAGGUUGCAGUGAGCCGAGAUCGUGCCACUGCACUCCAGCCUGGGUGACAGAGCAAGAUUCUGUCUCAA